rnacentral:rRNA from 1 species
UACGGAGGGUGCAAGCGUUAUCCGGAUUCACUGGGUUUAAAGGGUGCGUAGGCGGGUAGGUAAGUCAGUGGUGAAAUCUCGAAGCUUAACUUCGAAACUGCCAUUGAUACUAUCUAUCUUGAAUAUUGUGGAGGUUUGCGGAAUAUGUCAUGUAGCGGUGAAAUGCUUAGAUAUGACAUAGAACACCUAUUGCGAAGGCAGCAGGCUACGCAUAUAUUGACGCUGAGGCACGAAAGCGUGGGGAUCAAACAGG